GUGUCAUGCCCAGUCCAACUCUUCCCAGAGGCAGUACUCACAGCCACCAGCAACUGCAGAUGAUCUUCACUUCUCCUUCCACUGUUCUAGGAAAAGUCCUGGAACGGAAUCCCAUUGGCUGACUUAGAUCAUUGCCCAUGCCUGAUCCAAUCACCAUGAACAAGGCUGGAGUGCUCUGUCAGGCUGUGUCCUGUCCCCCUUGAAUCAAAAGGGUGGACAACCAAGGCUCAGAGAAGAAGAGGGAACUGCCCACAGGCACACAAUGAACACAUCAUCAUAGAACCAGGUCUCCAGGCCAGGGACUCAGGUUGCCACAUUCCAGCCCAGAGGGAGUUAGUUACCAGUGAGCAUUGACCAGAUUUGUGACUUGAUGUCUGCACUGAACUUUGUGUUAAACUUGGCGUGGGCCCUGCUCAGUCUCUGGAGCAUGCAGAAGUCUCUCCGUGGAAC